rnacentral:lncRNA from 1 species
CCAAAAAAAAAUUUAAAGAUCAAAUUGAAAAAAAUAACCAAAUUUAUAUACUAAAUGUUACUUUUUUUUCCUAUAUAGAAUACUGCUAACUUCAAUAUGCGAUGAUUGUUAUUUAUAAAAAGCCACCAUAAAAAAAUUAGUGAACAAAUCAUGGUGACAGCAGCUUAGCACUCACGGAUUUAUUACCCACCGUAAUUAAACAACACACAUUCGCCUUGACAUGCUAACACGUGUUUGCCCGAAAAUAUGAACAAAUUGUCUAACUGAUUUAUUUUAAAUUCAUAAUUGUUGAAAAAGUCUAAAACGAUUUGGUUCAUUCAAAAUAAAAAUUUGUUUUAAGAUUUAAUGGAUCUUUCUGUUCGGAAUCUUUUCUAAAAAAAGUAAAUACAUCGAUGUGCCAACAAACUUUAAUUUUUUAAUUAUUCUUUAAACACGUUAUCAUAUAAUUAAAUAAAUAUUUUUACAGUCUGUUACCCUAACACGUUUGUGUCUGCCGCCUUUGGCAAGAUUUUAGGUUUUUUGUUCUUUUGUCUUUCUUUUUGGCUUACGGCGUUGUGUCCCUGAAAAUUAUGGAGAAUGAAUUAGCCCAAUUAUCGAUCAACAAAGAGGAAGAUGUUAUUAAAAUUCAAGAAAAUCCAGGUACGAAAAGAAGUCAGGAGUUUUUUCAAUUAGUGGGGUGUUUUCUUACAGCGAGUAUAAUUCACUUUCCAACUAUAAAAAGUACUAUGGCAAAUCUAUGGCAUCCUGUUCGAGGAGUUCGCAUACGGGAUUUGGGGGAAAAAAGGUUGUUGUUCCAAUUUUUUCAUUUUAUGGAUAUGGAGAGGGUUUUGAAAGGCUCCCCAUAGACCUUCAAUAAUCAUCUAUUGAUACUUUAUAGACUGCGAUGGAGGGAGGAUUCGUUGCAGGUCUCUUUAGUGCUAACCCUUUUCUGGGUUUGUUUUCUGAAAAUUUAGUAGUGAAUCUAGGGAAUUUUUUGGGAAUUUUUUGGGGUAUUUUAUGGAAUAUGAUGUGUCAAAUUUAGGGAAAGAAAAUAGAAACUUUAUGAGGGUCAAAUUUUAUGUGUCAAAUUUUAUGGAAUAUGAUGUGUCAAUUUUAGGGAAAGACGUCCUUUGAAAAGAAAGAAGUCAAUCGAAUUUUGUGGAAGACAAUCAUAUGUCUGUUUUAAAUAUGAAAUAUUGACUCUUUUCAGCUUCUAUUGUGGAAAACUGGGCCAUAAUGAUUCGUUUUGUGAGGCAAAAUGAUGACUGGAGUGGAAAUAGCUGAAAUGGGGUGGGAUUUAUCAAUAAAAGCACAAUCCCACAUAGCUCUGACUAUGAAUAGUGUCUGGCUACAAGAAGAAGGGGAGGGGGGUUCAGACGGGAUUCAGGAGGCAAACAAGAGAUUUAUGAAUGGACCACAGGAAGAGUUUUGGGAAGGCUGUUGAUCCAGUUCUCGGUAUUAAUUUGGAAGGUGGUUAUUAUGUGAUGAUGCAAAGCAGGUUAGCUCACUGACAGACCAUGGUCAACAUGCGAUAGAUCAUGACUUGGAGGAUGUAGCCUUAGUAGGAGAAUAAGGCAAAAAAAGAUCUAGAAGGGAGAGCGACGACUUAUCAAAGACUGAGGAGUUAAAUUCCCCAGCAAGAAAUAGGAGAUUAAUGGAUCUUAAUCAUUUGUCAUCGGCGGUGCCAAGAGGCAAGCCGACCGGGCAUUAUGAAAAUAAUAUGUUGGAAUGUUUGUGGAUUGGGGAGUCCACGGACAGUUAGAAGACUUCGGCACUCGCUGAAGACUUGUGAUCCCCACAUAGUCUACUUUACGGAGACUAAACUUUGCAGAAAACAGAUGGAAAGAGUUCAACGGAGAUGUGGUUUUGUGAACCGAAUUGAGGUGGAUGCAGAGGGAACUAGAAGAGGGAUAUGUUUGGCAUGGAAGAAUGGCGUUAAUAUUUCUUUAAAAAAUUUCUCUAAAAGGCAUAUUGACGUGAUAGUCCAUGACGAUGAGAGGGAAGUUAUGUGGCGUUUUACAGGUUUCUAUGGUACCCUGUACGCACAAGAUAAAGAAGAUUCAUGGGCUGUUCUGAAAAUUCUCUCUAAUGGAGAUAAUAUACCAUGGUUAGUAUGUAGAGAUUUCAAUGAAGUCAUGAAUGGAAAUGUUUCAGAAGGUGCUGGAGUUUUGUUAAUUGAAUGAUGUGGGUUAUUCGGGCAGAUGGUUCACAUGGGAAAGAGGUAAUCUCUCAGAAACGAAUAUAUGAGAACGGUUGGAUAGGGGGUGGCAAAUAAGGAAUGGAUUUCAUUAUUUUCAGACGUUAAAGCUCAACAUUUGGUUCAUUUAAUUGAUACUAAAAAGGAAACAAGACGACAAAAUGAGAAUAUAUUCAGAAUUGAAAACUGGUGGUUUUUGAAGGACUUAUUCGUUGCUGAAGCUGAGCAGCUGUGGAAGAUGACACCAGGUAAUUUUUUGCAGAAGACGAAAAUCCUAAUGAAGGGGCUUGAAAAUUGGGCUGGAAAAAUACGAAACAAGAAAAAUAGAAAAAAGAAAUUUUUAACAACAAAGCUAUCUGAGCUACUCGACGCUGAAAGGGACGACAUUAACAUGGAGGAGAUGAUCGAUACGAAGAUUCAACUAGAUAUGGAGUUUGAAAAGGAGGAAAGAUAUUGGGAGCAAAGGGCUCAAUUGAAUUGGUUAAAAUUAGGUGACAAAAAUAUAGCUAUUUUCCAUGGUCAAGCAACCCAAAGGCAGAGAAAAAACAAGAUCAGGAGGUUACAAAAUGCACAUGGAAAGGAUACAAAAGAUCCCCAAGAAAUAGAAGAAAUAGCAAGAUCCUACUUCCAGAAUUUAUUUGCUUCAGAAAAUCAAGAGAAUCUCGACUAUUUACUCUUGGGUAUUGGUCGAUGUAUCUAUGAAGAGGAAAAUAAAAAGCUGACUGCGCAAUAUACAGGAGAAGAAAUCCGCGAUGCUUUGUUCGAGAUGGCACCCACUAAGGCACCAGGCGAAGAUGGAUUCCCAGCUUUAUUUUAUCGGAAGUGUUGGCAUUUUAUUGGAGAGGAUGUAGUUUCCUUCUGUCUACAACUCUUGAAUGAAGAUAUGGAGGUUAGUUCAAUUAAUACAACUCAUAUUGUGCUUAUUCCAAAAACUAAUAAUCUCGCUAAUAUGACACAUUUUAGGUCAAUUAGUUUAUGCAAUGUCAUUUAUAAAAUAAUGGAAAAAGCUAUAGCGAACAAAUUUAGAGGAGUGAUUGAUAAAUGCAUUGAUAGUGCACAAAGUGCCUUUGUGCCAGGAAGAUUAAUCUCAGAUAAUGUUCUGCUUGCUUACGAGAUAUUGCAUUCCCUAAAACAGAAAAGAGUGAGGAAAAAGGGCUAUAUGGCUGUAAAAUUGAAUAUGAGUAAGGCUUACGAUAGAGUUGAAUAGAAUUUUAUUAAAGAAAUAAUGUGUCGAAUGGGUUUCGCAUGAAGUUGGAUUGAUACUAUUAUGAAAUGCAUGACUACCGUUUCUUACAAGGUUGUGGUAAAUUGAAAUGUUGGGGUGACAUUUAGUUCAUCGAGGGACUUCGACAAGGUGAUCCUUCGAGUCUAUUUCUUUUCUUAAUAUGUGGGGAAUGCCUUUCCAGUCUUAUGAGAAAAGCAACAAAUGAAGGUUUUUUGAAGGGUGUCAAAGUAAGCAGAAGAGGACCACAUGUAUCACAUUUAUUUGUAGAUGAUUGCAUUCGUUUUGGGGAGGCAACAUGUAGAGGGGCUAAUACAAUCAAAGAAAUCUUAAGUGAGUAUAAAAGAGGUUCGGGACAGUGUGAAUAUGGACAAAUCAACUAUUUUUCUCAGCAAAAAUACGACGGCAGAAGAAAUAAGUCAGGUGGUAAACUUGCUAGGAAUCCAAAGCUCAAAUGAACCAGAACGUUAUCUAGGUUUGCCGACCAUGGUAGGACGAAAAAAGAAGGCUUCUUUUCAGGCUUUGAAACAUAGACUAAGAGGGCAUAUUGAUAACUGGAGCAUUAGAUUUUUAUCGCAGGGCGGGAAAGAAGUUUUCAUCAAAGCUGUAUUACAGGCCAUCCCGACAUAUUCAAUGGCUUGCUUCUUACUCCCAAAAAUUUUAUGCGAAGAAAUGGAAGGAAUUAUCGCGAAACUUUGGUGGAAAAAGGGUCAAGGUAAAGGGGAAUUCAUUGGUGCUCUUGGAAUAAUCUUUGCAAUUUAAAAGAAAAGGGAGGUUUGGGUUUUCGUAAUCUCAGUCAGUUUAAUAUUGCGUUAUUAGCCAAACAGGGGUGGCGUCUUUUUAAUUAUCCAAAUUCACUUUUAGCUAGAGUCUUUAAAGCAAAGUAUUAUCCACAGUCUGUUUUUUUAAGUGCAGAGUUUGGGGAAUUUACCUUCUUACCUGGAAGAGUAUCUGGGCAGUAAAGAAACUCCUCCUUCAGGGGCUAAGUUGGAGAGUUGGGAAAAGAAACAAUGUUUUCAUCUGGACAGAUCGGUGGAUUCCAAGGAUUGAACCUAGUACAUGGCAGAAUGAAGAUGAAAAUAGGGAGCUAAAAACAGUAUCAGAUUUAAUUGAUGGAACAAAUAAGAAGUGGAAAACGGAGGUCAUUAUUAGUACCUCUCAAUCGGAUAUAGCUAAAAAAAUUUUGGAGAUACCACUUGCAGAAAUGGACAGUGAAGACUUGCGCGUUUGGAAAGGUAAACCGACCGGAGAGUUCUCUGUACGGAGCACCUAUAAACUAUUACAAGAAGUUGAUUUAAUUUCUAAUAACUUAUUACAGACUGAUUUUAAAGAAUUCUAGAGAAAGUUAUGGGAUUUACAACUUCCAUCAAAAACUCUACUGUUUGUCUGGCGGAUAUCCUGGAACUAUAUUCCUACACUAGCCAACCUACGAUACAAGCGAAUAACCACAAAUGUGAGAUGCCCUCGAUGUGGCUUCGGGGAAGAGGACAACUUCUAUGUAUUCCAGUAAUGCCUUACAAGUACUGAAGUUUAGCAUAAUAUUAACAUGGAUUGGGUUACAUCAUAUUCAGAUCAAAAUACCAGAACAUGGCUUACAUGGGUAUUUGCAAAAGGAACUAAGGAACAGUGUCAGAUGUUUUGCUACGCUUUAUGGAUCAUAUGGAGCUCAUGAAAUCAAAUGGCACAUGAAAAAAAACACGCAUUAGAAAGGGACCUUGCACAGAAAAUAGAGAGCUAUAUAGCAGAACUUGAAGGAGUGGGUAAAGAAAGAUGUACCUUGAAGACUGCCAGAAUAUAGAGACAUACGGAGGAGAAAACGGAGGACACAACACAAUUUGAUGCAGCUUUUGAUGCAAACAGGUCCAGAUCGGCGUCGGGGGUCAUUGUAUGAAACCGGAUAGGAGAGAUGAGAGUCUUAAAAACAACCCUUCAUUCCAAUGUCUCAUCCCCAUUUCUUGCAGAGGCAUUCGCUUGUCUACAGGCAAUCAAGCUGGGUAUUUCACUGGGCCUCCGAUCAGUCACAAUAAGGGGAGAUUCGAAGACAAUCAUUAAAAAAUGUCAAUCGGCAGGGAUGGAUAAAUCGAUCAUUGGAGCAGUUAUCAAUGAUAUCAAGAGUCAUAGUUCGCUAUUUCAAGAAAUAGAUUUUCAGUUUAUUCAAAAAUCAAAGAACUUCCAAGCCCACAAAAUAGCGAAGGAAACAUUAGCAAAUGGGGAAGAGAGGUACUUGGUUAGAGAUGAGUCGAUCUACAACGAAGGAGCCAUGGAAGAGGAAUGGUCAAGAAACCCGGAUUGAAGAAAAUUUCAAAAAGAAAGAGAAUUGAAAAUGGUAACAGGAUUGAAGAAAGAACGUUUUGGAAACUGUUAUCUGCCAAAUAGAUGUGACGAUUCAGCAUGAAAAGGAGAGAUUUUAAUACGUCCAGGCUGUCUGAUUUGACUGGGUAAUAAUGUUAGGUUUUGUGUUUUUUUCAUUUUUUCGUUUCUAUUUUAUUAGGCUAAAAUUCUGAUGGGUAAACUUUGUAGCCCACCUAUUGCUUUAGGGUGUUUUCAGCAGACUCCAAACCCAAUUAUAUUGGGUAUUAUUGUGUUUUGUUUCCAUUAUUUAUACUAGUCCAGUUAUAUCUUUUUAAAAAAA